rnacentral:lncRNA from 1 species
UUAGAGUAGCAAUCUCAUCAGAUUGCAACUGUCCAGGAACUUGGAGAGGAGAGCUGUGUGUGUCUGCUGCUUCCUUCAGAUAAAUACCAGAUCUAUGGGCUGACUCAAGCAAGGAUGCAUUUGCUUUGUCAGGCAGCUUGUUGAUAGAAGGGGAACUUGUGCUGAGAACUUGUUCGGGUUGACCUGACUCUGGCCAAGCAUCACCCUUUUUAAGACUCUGAGGAUGGGAUGCCACUGCUGUUGGCCGUGAACCAGCACGGUGAUGCGAUGAAUCUGCAUCAUAGAAACGAUGCCAAGAGCCAGGCAUGAACUAUUUAGUGGCCACUAUAUGCUAACUCACCAGGAGUCGCAGGAGUGAAUCUGAGUUCAGCCUUCACGGAGCACGUACUCUAACUGAAACAGAAGGCAGAUGCCGAGGCAAGUAUGCAGCGAUGAUGUCCUGAGAAAGGCAUAGCAGAGCUGGGGCAAAACCACAGUAGAACCUCUGAGACAGAGUGGACAGGUUUAAGAUAAGCAAGGGGGUCACAGAAUAGCCAGUGUAGGGAAGGGACAGAGCAGAAAGUACAGAC